UACACUGAAAUCGUUAGAUGCUUGAAUGAACUCCAAAAUAUAACCCAAAAAAGGGAAUUCAAGAUAUUACGACCUUUGACUCCAAUUUCGGUCGACCCAAAGUUAUGGUGGAAAUAUGCCGCAAUGUGCCAUGGUUAUACUAUAUGUUCUUCAUAUGAAAAAAUUGAAUUAGCAAGAGAAAAUAUUAAAUAUAUGUUGAUUUAUAAACGUCUGCUCAUAAAUCCGUCGGAAAAUCUUGCAAAGGAAGAGAGACACUUCAAAAUCAAUAUAGAAAAAAGAAGAAGUCUCGAUAACUUAAAGCUACUUCGAAAAGUAUGUUGCGAUUACGUAUGUUCCAAGGGUAUGAACACUCGUCAACGCACUAUUGUACAAGGGAGAAAUAUUCUAUAUCAUUGGUUUCCGAACUGGCUUGGAUGGUACGGAGUUUCAGAUAACACAAUUGGCGAGGAUGCAGCCGUAGUAAACGACGAUACGUAUAAACACAUAGAAAAUGAUAUAUUGUGUGCACUAAAGGAAUCUAUUGAGAAUGAAGCAUUCUCUAAGCGAGACGUGAUAUUCGGAAACUUUACUUUUACAUUAUCUGAUGUUAAAAUUGCAUUAAAGACUGUGAAGUUUCAAAGAGAGUUGACUAUGUUGGAUAUGGAAUUAACAAACUUAUUCUGUUUCAUUGAAAUUAAACCGAAACUUACAUCGUAUCGAGUGGGAUUAUCACUUGGGUCAGUCCAUUUAAAUGAUAAAUUAACACAUUCUACAGAAUUCCCUUAUCUAAUUAAGCCACAAAACCAAGGAACAACAAACCCAAAAUCAUUUUAUACUGAGUUUCUAAGUUUCUUCUCAAAGCGGGAUGCAACACAUGCCAGCGAAGAACCUUGGUUUCAGUUGCAGUAUGAAAGAAAUCCGCCGGAACACCAUUCAGAUUAUCGCCUUAUCAUAAAGUCUAAGAGUUUGGACAUCGUAUAUAACGAAAUUGCGUUAAAGUGGUUAGUUACUUUUUUGAUCCAGCCUAUAAAAGAUAUAAAAAAUAUAAAAACUGUAACGCUGGCUACAAAAGAAAAGGAAAUAUCCCGCCUGAAAUUUUUUAGACAUUGGAAAAGUGUUUUAGUUGGUCAAAAGGAUAACAGAAAAAAAUGGUCCUUUGAGAUUGAUAUUUCAGCUCCAAGAAUUAUAUGCGUCGAAAACUUUAAAGACAAAAAUACUUCAGUAGUAAUAAUAGAUUUCGGGCGUUUUCACCUGUUUAAAAAUGAACGCUCCCCUGUGGACUUUCAGGUUGCUAAUGUAGACAUAAGUGAAGUCGAUAGCGAUGAAGAGCUUUUUAUGACACCUUGUUCCACACCUCCGGGUUCUAAAACCAGCCUUUCAGAUAUCCCAGUUCUAAAUCCAACUACUGGGGAUGACCACUUGUUUUCAAGAUUUGUCAUUAACAAUGAUACAGGACUGGAAAGUGAUGCACAUAACGAAAUUUAUGACAAAUAUAUUAUUAAUUUAACUGAUUUGCAAAUACUUGUAUGUAAAAAUCGAGAAUGUGUUUUUGCAUGUGCUAAAAGUUCUUCAUGUUAUCAUUUAUUAGACAAGUUUAAUAUAAAUCUCCAUUUAGAACGGAGAAUUGUAAUCACAACAGAUCCUGAAUACCCGUCCUUUACGUUGUUUGGAAACCUUAAUAGAAUCGUAGCUCAUAUAAAUGAACAAAAGAUAUCUGAGUGUUUAAAAAUACUAAAUCCAAUUACUUUCGACUUAUUUAAUUCGGUGGAAAAUUCAAAGUUGGAUGAAAAAAACAUUGAGAGUGAUUUCGAAGCUAUACACAGUGGCAACACGACGAUUAUCCAAUUUAUUAUAGACCAAAUUAUAUUAGAAAUUCAAUCAAGAGAGAAAAGCAUAGCUGAAAUACAAGUAAUUGGGGCUAAAGCUGGGGUUACGCGAAAAUCAGAUGCAGUAAAUAUAAGCAUGUCUGUGCACGGAUUUCUUCUUGUAGACGCAAUUCAGUCGUUUGGGCCGGACUUUGAGCUUCUUAUUGCUAGCCACAGGCAUGUAGAAAUGGACAGCAAAUCGGGAAGUAUUAGACAGAGUGAACCUUGCUCUCCCACUUCCCCUGGCUCACCUGAUCCGAAUGGUCAUCAACGUUGUGCUAGUCCCAAUAUAAUAAACAGGGCAUUAAACGAUUUGCAAACUGGUAAGCCAAAUAAUCUCAGUGACUUUGAUUUCUUCUUAUAUUCCUCUAAUAUUUUUAAAUGGUGAAAAACAAUAAAGAAGUAAGUAAAGGAUACAGUCGGUCUGAGCCGACCAUGUGAUAGUCUACAACUUGGUAGCGAACGAAUUCUAUAGAUUUUGCGAUACCUAAUUGUACUUCAUUUCAUUUCAUUUAUUUACCUUACAAAG
rnacentral:sRNA from 1 species